rnacentral:rRNA from 1 species
GAUGAACGCUGGCGGCGUGCCUAAUACAUGCCAGUCGAGCGAACGGACGAGAAGCUUGCUUCUCUGAUGUUAGCGGCGGACGGGUGAGUAACACGUGGAUAACCUACCUAUAAGACUGGGAUAACUUCGGGAAACCGGAGCUAAUACCGGAUAAUAUUUUGAACCGCAUGGUUCAAAAGUGAAAGACGGUCUUGCUAUCACUUAUAGAUGGAUCCGCGCUGCAUUAGCUAGUUGGUAAGGUAACGGCUUACCAAGGCAACGAUGCAUAGCCGACCUGAGAGGGUGAUCGGCCACACUGGAACUGAGACACGGUCCAGACUCCUACGGGAGGCAGCAGUAGGGAAUCUUCCGCAAUGGGCGAAAGCCUGACGGAGCAACGCCGCGUGAGUGAUUAAGGUCUUCGGAUCGUAAAACUCUGUUAUUAGGGAAGAACAUAUGUGUAAGUAACUGUGCACAUCUUGACGGUACCUAAUCAGAAAGCCACGGCUAACUACGUG